CGCCGCGUGAGGGAUGACGGCCUUCGGGUUGUAAACCUCUUUCAGCACAGACGAAGCGAAAGUGACGGUAUGUGCAGAAGAAGGACCGGCCAACUACGUGCCAGCAGCCGCGGUAAUACGUAGGGUCCGAGCGUUGUCCGGAAUUAUUGGGCGUAAAGGGCUCGUAGGCGGUUUGUCACGUCGGGAGUGAAAACCAGGUGCUUAACACCUGGCCUGCUUCCGAUACGGGCUGGCUAGAGGUAUUCAGGGGAGACUGGAAUUCCUGGUGUAGCGGUGGAAUGCGCAGAUAUCAGGAGGAACACCGAUGGCGAAGGCAGGUCUCUGGGCAGUUACUGACGCUGAGGAGCGAAAGCAUGGGGAGCGAACAGGAUUAGAUACCCUGGUAGUCCAAGGG
rnacentral:rRNA from 1 species